CACACACACUUCCCAAGCCAACACACAGCCCACACAGAUCUGAAACUUCUUGCUGUACGCAGUUUCACUUCCAGAGUUGCGCAAUACAGUAGAGCUCCUCCCCCCCGGUCCUGAUAUUUACCACAGCACCAUCACGGGUGCACACACACUUGCACUCUCUCUCUGUCCGCCUGGCCAGUGUGUGUGUGUGUGUGCGCAUCACACUCCUGCUCCAGUGUUUGCUACAGUGGGUUCUGUUGGGAAUCUUUGUUCCUGCCGGUUCUGUUGGGGAUCUCUGCUCUGUUCUGUGGUUCUCCAGCUCCCGUGUGGUUCCUGUGUGGUUCUUAUCGUGGUUCAUCCGGUUCAUCCUCUGUGUGGUUUCCUGUGCGGUUCCUGUGUGGUUCCUGUGCCAUGAGGCUGGUGUGGUGGUGUGUGUGUGUGGUGCUGCUGGUGUGUCUCAUGAGUGUGUGCAGUGAGGACGACCCCGAGGGCAGCUGCCCCGUGAGGCUGAAGGCGGUGGGGGGGUGCAGGCUGGAGGACAACGACUGCUCCGUCACGCUGGGGCUCCCCAAGCUCACACUGACGCUGCCGCGGCAGUGGGUCCAGCUGGAACGCGGCCUGAAGGAGCUGCAGAGCCUGCGGAGCGCCGUGGCCCAGCUGCAGCGGUGCUGUGGGGGGGCGCGGGGGGGGCGCGCACCAGACCAGGCCCAGCACGACCAGCCAGGGGAGGCCCACUCGCCCGGGGACACGCCCCAGACGCCGCCGCUGGCGGAGAUGCAGCAGAAGCUGAGCCGUGUGACGACGAGCCUGCGGAACGCUCGCGUGCAGAUCAGCGUGCUGCAGGGCCAGGUCGGCCAGCUGACCAACCAGAGCGCCCACUUCCUGGAGGCUGCCGCCGCCGCCAGCCGCUUCCACAACGCCACCUGCUCCACACACUGCCCAUCACACAGCGCCCCCCAGUUUAUGGUUGUCCCGCGGGACUGUUCCGAGUACAGCUUGCUGGGUCAGCGCUCCGACGGCAUCUACAAGGUGACCCCUGACCCCCGUAACGGCACGUUCUCGGUGUGGUGCGACAUGGAGUCGUACGGUGGAGGCUGGACGGUGAUCCAGCGGCGCCUCAACGGCAGCGUGAGCUUCAACCGCUCCUGGGCCGAGUACAAGCGGGGCUUCGGCGACCCGCGCGCCGAGCUCUGGCUGGGCAACGACCUGCUGCACCUGCUGACCAAGGCCAAGGACAUGGUGCUGCGCAUCGACCUGGAGGACGUGGACGGCGUGCGAGAGUACGCCAAGUACGAGCGCUUCUACGUGGCCAAUGAGCUGCUGCGCUACCGUCUGUCCGUCAGCGGCUACUCUGGUUCCGCCGGAGAUGCGCUGCACUUCAGCAAGCACUUCAACCACGACCAGAAGUUCUUCAGCACGCCGGACCGCGACAACGACAUGUACCCGUCGGGCAACUGCGGCGCCUACUACAGCUCGGGCUGGUGGUUCGACGCCUGCAUGUCUGCCAACCUCAACGGCAAGUACUACCACAAGCGCUACCAGGGCGUGCGCAACGGCAUCUUCUGGGGCACCUGGGCAAACCUGACGCGCGAGUACUACCCUACCAGCUACAGGCAGGCCUUUAGGACCGUCAAGAUGAUGAUCCGCCCCAAGAACUACGCCCCCUAAAGGCCUUUAGGACCGUCAAGAUGAUGAUCCGCCCCAAGAACUACGCCACCUAGAGGUACAUCAUUCCUACAGCUUGAAUGAAUCGCCUCUGACAACUUGGGUUGCUGUGGAAAAGGAGGGACUGGUUCGAUUUGGCCACUGCACCUGUAUGGCCGGGUCAGGUGAAGCGUGCUCACAUGUAGUGUACAUCAGGAAUCUGUAAGAGACUGUACAUGCACAGAAGUUGUUUGCAGACUACUGAUCUUAGUGUUUUGAAUUGGAGGUGCAGUGU